rnacentral:rRNA from 1 species
CAAGUCGAGGGGCAGCAUUCCAGUUUGCUUGCAAACUGGAGAUGGCGACCGGCGCACGGGUGAGUAACACGUAUCCAACCUGCCGAUAACUCGGGGAUAGCCUUUCGAAAGAAAGAUUAAUAUCCGAUAGCAUAUAUUUCCCGCAUGGGUUUUAUAUUAAAGAAUUUCGGUCAUCGAUGGGGAUGCGUUCCAUUAGGUUGUUGGCGGGGUAACGGCCCACCAAGCCUUCGAUGGAUAGGGGUUCUGAGAGGAAGGUCCCCCACAUUGGAACUGAGACACGGUCCAAACUCC